UGGGGAAUAUUGCACAAUGGGGGAAACCCUGAUGCAGCGACGCCGCGUGAGGGAAGAAGGUUUUCGGAUUGUAAACCUCUGUCCUUGGUGACGAUAAUGACGGUAGCCAAGGAGGAAGCCACGGCUAACUACGUGCCAGCAGCCGCGGUAAUACGUAGGUGGCAAGCGUUGUCCGGAAUUACUGGGUGUAAAGGGAGCGUAGGCGGGAAAGCAAGUUGAAUGUUUAAACUAUCGGCUCAACCGAUAAUCGCGUUCAAAACUGUUUUUCUUGAGUGAAGUAGAGGUAGGCGGAAUUCCUAGUGUAGCGGUGAAAUGCGUAGAUAUUAGGAGGAACACCAGUGGCGAAGGCGGCCUACUGGGCUUUAACUGACGCUGAGGCUCGAAAGCGUGGGUAGCAAACAGGAUUAGAUACCCUGGUAGUCCACGCCGUAAACGAUGAUUACUAGGUGUGGGGGGAUCAACCCUUCCGUGCCGCAGCAAACGCAAUAAGUAAUCCACCUGGGGAGUACGACCGCAAGGUUGAAACUCAAAGGAAUUGACGGGGACCCGCACAAGCAGUGGAGUAUGUGGUUUAAUUCGAAGCAACGCGAAGAACCUUACCAGGUCUUGACAUCCAACGAACUCGCUAGAGAUAGCAAGGUGCCCUUCGGGGAGCGUUGAGACAGGUGGUGCAUGGUUGUCGUCAGCUCGUGUCGUGAGAUGUUGGGUUAAGUCCCGCAACGAGCGCAACCCUUACUGAUAGUUGCUACGCAAGAGCACUCUAUCGGGACUGCCGUUGACAAAACGGAGGAAGGUGGGGAUGACGUCAAAUCAUCAUGCCCCUUAUGACCUGGGCUACACACGUACUACAAUGGCUAUUAACAACGGGAAGCGAAGAGGUGACUCGGAGCCAAUCCAAAAAAAUAGUCUCAGUUCGGAUUGCAGGCUGCAACUCGCCUGCAUGAAGCCGGAAUUGCUAGUAAUCGCGGAUCAGCAUGCCGCGGUGAAUACGUUCCC
rnacentral:rRNA from 1 species